UCCCCGUCCCAUUUUUCACGGUUCAUAUUCCACUCGUUUGACCAUUCGUCUUAUUUAAUUUUUUUUUAUUAUUAGUAUUUUUAUUGUUAUUAAAUGAUAAAACAUAAAUAGUAUUUUAUGUGUGACCAUCUUUUUUUAGUUUUUCUUAAUAAAUUAUUUAAAUAAGACGGACGGUUAAAUGUUGGACACGAAUACCUACGGCUGUAUUUAUU
rfam:Oryza sativa (indica cultivar-group) chromosome 1, whole genome shotgun sequence.